rnacentral:rRNA from 1 species
AGUGAACGCUGGCGGUGGGCCUAACACAUGCAAGUCGAACGGCAGCACAGGAGAGCUUGCUCUCUGGGUGGCGAGUGGCGGACGGGUGAGGAAUACAUCGGAAUCUACUUUUUCGUGGGGGAUAACGUAGGGAAACUUACGCUAAUACCGCAUACGACCUACGGGUGAAAGCAGGGGACCUUCGGGCCUUGCGCGAUUGAAUGAGCCGAUGUCGGAUUAGCUAGUUGGCGGGGUAAAGGCCCACCAAGGCGACGAUCCGUAGCUGGUCUGAGAGGAUGAUCAGCCACACUGGAACUGAGACACGGUCCAGACUCCUACGGGAGGCAGCGGUGGGGAAUAUUGGACAAUGGGCGCAAGCCUGAUCCAGCCAUACCGCGUGGGAGAAGAAGGCCUUCGGGUUGUAAAGCCCUUUUGUUGGGAAAGAAAUCCAGCUGGCUAAUACCCGGUUGGGAUGACGGUACCCAAAGAAUAAGCACCGGCUAACUUCGUGCCAGCAGCCGCGGUAA